rnacentral:lncRNA from 1 species
AUUUAUAUAGGAAGGUAAUUUUACCCUUCCUUGGAUACUUUCUAGCUAAGGAAUUACAUGAGUGGUUGAAUACAAGGAGAAAAUGGAAAUUUAGACACAAAAAUAUCAGAAGAAAAAGAGUCGGCAAAAAUAUCCAAUUUUCGCACGCUGAGUUCCAAUUUCGCACUUUGGUUUGAGGUGUGCGAAAUUUUCGCACAGUGGACUGAGGAUUUCGCACCUUGAUUUCCAUCGUGCGAAAUUUUCGCUCAGCCUGAUGCAGUUGUCUUCCGAAGGCCAUAUCUUUCUCAUUUCAGCUCCAAAUCAUACAUGGUUUGAACCGUUGGAUUCUUGACUUUCUGAGCUUUGAAAUGGUAUAUAGAAUGUAAAAAAUGGACUUCGGGAAGUGCUCCAAAAGUGCAAUGAAAUACUGCAGCUGUGUCCCCUGUUUUC